rnacentral:lncRNA from 1 species
AGCAAGGAGGCCAGUGUGGUGGAGAGGGUGGGGAAGGAGGAAAAGGUGGGUGGAAGUUGACGUCAGGAGAUGGACGGAGGGGCACAUGGCGCAGGGCCAGGUAAGGCACUGCCGAGACUGUGGCUUUGAGGGGCAGGGUGCUGUGAAAGGCGAAUAACGGCCCCCCAGUGACGUCUACAUCCUAAUCCCCUGUGAAUGUUACGUUAUAUGACAAAAGAAUGCAGCCAUGAUUAAGUUCAGGAUCGUGCUUUGGGGAGAUUAUCCUGGAUUGCCCUGGCAGGCUCUUUAUGUAAUCACACAGAUCCUUAUAAUCGAGAAGGACACAGGAAGCGUGAGUCAGAGGGGCUGUGACAACAAAGGAAGCAAAGCCCUUUGAAGACGGGAGAAGGAGCUGAAAGUCAAGCAGCACUUCAGAGUCAGAAUGAUUGAGUGUGAGAGAGUCCAUGGGCCAUCGAAAUGGGAAACUAAUCUAGAGGAUGAGGAAGAAAUCACAGAAGGAGAAGUUGCGUCUCAUGCUGACUCAGUAUGCAAAUACUCUCUGGGAGACUUCUCCAUCCUCAGACCGCUCCAGACACCAAAUGCCUGGGCCUUUGACCGCCUUGCUAAGAGGGUCAACCAAGCCAGCCAGGGGAUUGGAGAGAAGAGUGUGCCAAUAAUUGGUUUGUUCAUCAAUUCAAUGAAGAUUUAUUGAGCAUCUGUUGUGGACAGCCCUAUUCUAGGUUCUGGGGAGACAGCCAUGAAUGAGACAGUGAUGGCUGCUUUUGGAGAGCUGACCUUCUAGUGGGAGACAGGCCACAGAAAAACAAAGCACAUGGAACAUAAUGUCAGGGAUGACGAUGCUGUGAAGGAAUGGAGCAGGUGCUAAGAACCUACUGGAACGGGCAUGCUUAAGAGGUGCUGGAGAGGGUCAACUCUUGGGUGACUGCUUCGAGCAAUGGGAGGGUGGGGAGCAGGGGUGUUGUACACACUGCGACAGGGCCAGGUUUGCAAAAGAAAUCAAGACAUGGCCACACAAACACUUCUGUGUGACUGUUCACAGCAGCAUUAUUCACAAUAGCCAAAAGGUAGAAAUAACCCAAAUGCCCAUGAACAGACG